rnacentral:rRNA from 1 species
GUCUAUCAUUACAUCACCCUGAACAUGCCUGAUCCCUCCCAUUGUGGAAAUUAGAUAGGAUCAGGCCCAGUAACUGCUUGGAUGGGAGACAGCUGGUGAACACCAGGUAUCGUAGGCU